UUAUAAAUGAGCAUAGUCUGCGAUAGUGACAAAAAGAAGAGAAGAGGAUAAAGACAGAGGUGCGUUUGGUGAGUCAAUAUCAGUGACAUUUGUGUCACAGUGAUUCGGUCACUUUACACACUGCUGUUCUUGAAAUACAGACAGAUGAUGUGUUACAAUGGAGAUUUGGAGCUGAUGGUGUCCUUAUAGCUCAAAUCAACAGAGCAGACAAUAAGAGCUCUAAAUAUGAUGAUGUUCUUAACCAGAGAUUCAGAAGCCGGUUGAAACUGGACAAUCAAACUGGAGAUCUUACUGUCAGAAACAUAAGAACUGAACAGUCUGGACUAUAUGAAAUUACCAACACCUAACAUACUAUCAGGAAGAUAUUCAAUAUCAGUUGUGUGGCUGUAGAUGCAGUGAAGUCAGUGUCAGUGCUGGUGGGAGAUUUAGUCACUCUACAGACUGGUCUUACUGAACUACAAAGAGAUGAUGUGAUACGAUGGAGGUUUGAGCAUCAAAACUCUCCUAUAGCUGAAAAUAAUAGACAGACUAGAAAAGUCUUCAAAUAUGAUGACACUGAUGAGAGAUUCAGACACCGACUAAAGCUGGACUAUUUGACUGGGUCUCUGACCAUCAGAAACAUUGGAACCAGUCACUCUGGACUUUAUGAAGUGGACAUCAGUACCAGCAGCCGCAAACACACCAUACACAAGACAUUUAAUGUCACGGUCAGCGGUAAGUAGCUCAUGUCUUUCAAUGUAAUAAUGAACUGGAUCACCACUGAACAAUUUAAUUAAAAUUAUCAUGUUUGCAUUGAAUGCAUUCUCGCGUGACUUGCUGCAGCAACUGAGUGGAACUAACAGUAUGAGAGACUCGUGCUCUCAGCCAGUCUCUCAUACUGUUCUCUGUUCAAUGACGCAAUGAGCUAAACUUUUGCACCAACUCUGUAUUCAGAGUCUUUUCAGCUGAAAAACCAUCAAAUUCUCACACAGCAAUCAUGGCGCGUCUCU